rnacentral:rRNA from 1 species
GACGAACGCUGGCGGCGUGCUUAACACAUGCAAGUCGAACAAAGAGCGAUGGAAGCUUGCUUCUAUCAAUCUUAGUGGCGAACGGGUGAGUAACGCGUAAUCAACCUGCCCUUCAGAGGGGGACAACAGUUGGAAACGACUGCUAAUACCGCAUACGAUCUAAUCUCGGCAUCGAGGAUAGAUGAAAGGUGGCCUCUACAUGUAAGCUAUCACUGAAGGAGGGGAUUGCGUCUGAUUAGCUAGUUGGAGGGGUAACGGCCCACCAAGGCGAUGAUCAGUAGCCGGUCUGAGAGGAUGAACGGCCACAUUGGGACUGAGACACGGCCCAGACUCCUACGGGAGGCAGCAGUGGGGAAUCUUCCGCAAUGGACGAAAGUCUGACGGAGCAACGCCGCGUGAGUGAUGACGGCCUUCGGGUUGUAAAGCUCUGUUAAUCGGGACGAAAGGCCUUCUUGCGAAUAGUGAGAAGGAUUGACGGUACCGGAAUAGAAAGCCACGGCUAACUACGUG